rnacentral:rRNA from 1 species
AUGAGGGGCGCGGUGUUGGUGGCCAUCACGGCCGCCAUAGGCAACAUGCUCCAGGGCGUGGACAACGCCACGAUCGCCGGUGCCGUGAUGUACAUCAAGAGGGAGUUCCACCUGGAGACGCAGCCGGCCGUUGAGGGCCUCGUGGUGGCCACCUCCCUCAUCGGCGCCACCAUCAUCACCACUUUCUCCGGCCCCGUCGCCGACAUUGUUGGCCGCCGCCCGAUGCUCAUCGCCUCCUCGCUCCUCUACUUCCUGGGCGGGCUCGUCAUGCUCUGGUCUCCCAACGUGUACGUGCUCCUCAUCGCCCGUCUCAUCGACGGCUUCGGCGUGGGCCUCGCCGUCACGCUCGUCCCCGUCUACAUCUCCGAGACGGCGCCGCCGGAGAUCCGGGGCUUGCUCAACACCUUUCCGCAGUUCACGGGUUCUGCCGGCAUGUUCAUGGCCUACUGCAUGAUCUUCACCAUGACGCUCCAUCCGGGCCCGAGCUGGCGAACCAUGCUGGGCGUGCUAGCCGGGCCCUCUCUGAUCUACCUCGCGCUGACGGUGUUCUACCUGCCGGAGUCCCCGCGCUGGCUGGUGAGCAAGGGGAGGAUGAAGGAGGCGAGGGUGGUGCUGGAGAAGCUUAGGGGCAGGGAGGACGUGUCCGGCGAGAUGGCGCUGCUGGUGGAGGGGCUGGGGAGCGCCGGCGAGACGGAGAUCGAGGAGUACGUCGUCGGCCCGGCGGACGGCGACCAGGAACAGAGGGACACGGUGACGCUGUACGGGCCCGAGCAGGGGCUGUCGUGGGUGGCGCAGCCCGUCGCCGGCGGGAGGGGCAGCAUGCUGGGGAGCGCACUGGGGCUCGGUGGCACGGGGAGGCAGGGGAGCAUGUUCGACUCCAUGAGGGACCCCGUGGUGGCGCUCCUCGGGAGCGUGCACGAGCGCCUCCCCGGAGACGGCGGCGCCGGGAGCAUGAGGGGGAGCACGCUGUUCCCCAACCUCGGGAGCAUGCUCAGCGUUGAGAGGCCUGGCGGCGCCGCCCCCGGCGCCCCCGGCGGCAGCGGUGGAGCGUGGGACGAGGAGAACGCGGCGCGCGCGGAUGACGAGGACGACGAGUACCUGUCGGACGACGACGAGCCGGCAGCAGCGCCUGGCGGCGGUGGCGGUCUCGAGGCGCCCCUGCUGUCGAGGCAGAGCACGGAGGUGGAAGGUAAGACGAACGCCAACGAUCCACGGAGCCAGUCUAUGCAGAGGUUCAGCAGCAUGGGCGGCGGCGUGGACGCGGCAAGCACCAUGGGCAUCGGCGGCGGCUGGCAGCUGGCGUGGAAGUGGACCGAGAAGGUGGGCCCCGAUGGCGUGAAGCGCGGCGGCGUCAAGAGGAUGUACCUGCACGAGGAAGGCAUACCCGGCGGCGCCGACGGCGCGGCCGCGGGCGCCGCCGGACCUGGCGAGUACGUCCACGCAGCGGCGCUGGUCAGCCAGUCCAUGCUCUACACCAAGGACGUCCUCAUCGGACAGAGCCCCACCGAGCCCGCCUUCGCCAACCCACCGGAGGCCGUCGCCACCAAGGCCGCCGCCAGCGGCCCCCGCUGGCGCGAGCUCCUCGAGCCCGGCGUCCGCCACGCCCUGUUCUGUGGGAUGAUGAUUCAAAUCCUCCAGCAGUUCUCCGGCAUCAACGGCGUGCUCUACUACACGCCACAGAUCCUGGACCAGGCCGGCGUCAGCGUGCUCCUCGCCGGCCUCGGCCUGAGCGCCGACUCCACCUCCAUCCUCAUCUCGGGCCUCACCACGCUGCUCAUGAUGCCGAGUAUCGGGCUCGCCAUGUGGCUCAUGGACUUGUCUGGCCGGCGCACCCUGCUGCUCACCACCAUCCCCGUGCUCAUCUUCUCCCUCGUCAUCCUCAUCGUCGCCAACGUCGUGCCCAUGGCCACCACCGUGCACGCCGCGCUCUCCACCGGCUCCGUCAUCAUCUACUUCUGCUGCUUCGUCAUGGGCUUUGGCCCCAUCCCCAACAUCCUCUGCGCCGAGAUCUUCCCCACCCGUGUCCGCGGCCUCUGCAUCGCGCUCUGCUCCCUCACCUUCUGGAUCGGCGACAUCAUCGUCACCUACAGCCUCCCCGUCAUGCUCAACUCCAUCGGCCUCGCGGGGGUCUUCGGCAUCUACGCCUGCGUCUGCUGCCUCGCGCUUGUCUUCGUCGCCCUCAAGGUGCCCGAGACCAAGGGCCUGCCGCUCGAGGUCAUCAUCGAGUUCUUCAACGUCGGCGCCAAGGGAAUCCCAGAGCAGAUGGAUUAA